GGUCGGGUAUAUGCCAGCGUGGGUAGCGUUAAGGUGACUGGGCAGGGCAGAGUGGGCAUGCAUAGCGCCAGUUGCAGCUUCGCCCAGAGGGGGACAGUUGUGCACGGCCUGACUGCUGCCUGCACGGUGUUGGUGUGUGAUGCGCGGAAAGUGCGACUUGCUUUCGGCCACAGGGAGGCAAAGGGAGCGAGAGAAACGCGUCUGGAGGAAAAGAGGGAGAUAUUGAGACAGGGAGAGAGAGAGAGGAGAGAGGAUAUAUAAAGAUGAGACGCGGGAGAAGGUGUAGAUGAAGGAUCUCCCCCACAGACCUUCGGCACUAAGAUCAUCACCACCUCCAGCGCCUCCUCCAAGAGGCCAUUUCGCCAUCAGAUUUUCCAAAAGGUACCAACGCCAGUACCAUACAGAUGGGGAACACCGGUAGAAUGAGAGGCUACGAACUGACCCAAGGAACGUGACGUCAUGAAAAACAAAUGAAUAACAAAAACAGGAAUCAACAACGACACACGGGCGGCGGCAGAUAACAUACUUUUCUAUCAACAAACACAUCACCUGCCAAAAUUCUGUAAUUUUUGAAGGAAGGGAGUACGUUUUUUUGAGAAUCAAGGUUUGUUCUUCUGUAAUAUUACUUCUUAGAGGAAAAAAGAGAAUCCUGUUUUGUACUGAUAUAGAGAAUUAUAAUAAAGAUUGAUAUUUUAUA